AGAGUUUGAUCCUGGCUCAGAUUGAACGUUGGCGGCAGGCCUAAAACAUGCAAGUCGAACGGUAACAGCAGGAGCUUGCUCCUGGCUGACGAGUGGCGGACGGGUGAGUAAUACGCAGGAGUCUACCCAGUAGUGGGGGACAACCCGGGGAAACUCGGGCUAAUACCGCAUACGCUCUACGGAGGAAAGCGGGGGAUCUUCGGACCUCGCGCUAUCGGAGGAGCCUGCGUCGGAUUAGCUAGUUGGUGGGGUAAAGGCCUACCAAGGCGACGAUCCGUAGCUGGUCUGAGAGGACGACCAGCCACACUGGAACUGAGACACGGUCCAGACUCCUACGGGAGGCAGCAGUUAGGAAUCUUGGGCAAUGGGCGCAAGCCUGACCCAGCCAUGCCGCGUGUGUGAAGAAGGCCUUCGGGUUGUAAAGCACUUUCAGUGGCGAAGAAAAGCUUGGGGCUAAUACCCUCGAGUUUUGACGUUAUCCACAGAAGAAGCACCGGCUAACUCCGUGCCAGCAGCCGCGGUAAUACGGAGGGUGCGAACGUUAAUCGGAAUUACUGGGCGUAAAGCGCACGUAGGCGGUCCGUUAAGUGGGGUGUGAAAGCCCUGGGCUCAACCUGGGGAAUUGCAUUCCAGACUGACGGGCUAGAGUACGAUAGAGGGAGGUGGAAUUUCCCGUGUAGCGGUGAAAUGCGUAGAUAUAGGAAGGAACACCAGUGGCGAAGGCGGCCUCUCUGGAUCGAUACUGACGCUGAGGUGCGAAAGCGUGGGGAGCAAACAGGAUUAGAUACCCUGGUAGUCCCACGCCGUAAACGAUGAGAACUAGCCGUUGGAUCCCUCGAGGGUUUAGUGGCGUAGCUAACGCGAUAAGUUCUCCGCCUGGGGAGUACGGCCGCAAGGCUAAAACUCAAAUGAAUUGACGGGGGCCCGCACAAGCGGUGGAGCAUGUUGUUUAAUUCGAUGCAACGCGAAGAACCUUACCACCCCUUGACAUCCUCGGAACUUGUCAGAGAUGACUUGGUGCCUUCGGGAACCGAGAGACAGGUGCUGCAUGGCUGUCGUCAGCUCGUGUCGUGAGAUGUUGGGUUGAGUCCCGUAACGAGCGCAACCCUUGUCCUUAUUUGCCAGCGGGUAAUGCCGGGAACUCUAAGGAGACUGCCGGUGACAAACCGGAGGAAGGUGGGGAUGAUGUCAAGUCAUCAUGGCCCUCACGGGGUGGGCCACAAACGUGCUACAAUGGCGCGCACAAAGGGCUGCUAUCCCGCAAGGGGGAGCGAAUCCCAAAAAACGCGUCGUAGUCCGGAUUGGGGUCUGCAACUCGACCCCAUGAAGUCGGAAUCGCUAGUAAUCGCGAAUCAGAAUGUCGCGGUGAAUACGUUCCCGGGCCUUGUACACACCGCCCGUCACGUCAUGGAAGUGGGCUGCACCAGAAGUGGCUAGUCUAACCUUCGGGGGGACGGUCACCACGGUGUGGUCCAUGACUGGGACGAAGUCGUAACAAGGUAACC
rnacentral:rRNA from 2 species